rnacentral:rRNA from 1 species
UUUUAUGGAGAGUUUGAUCCUGGCUCAGGAUGAACGCUGGCGGCGUGCCUAAUACAUGCAAGUCGAGCGAACAGAUAAGGAG